UUGGGGUUGGACCCACCUUAUCAACCAAGUACGAGGGCUUUACAGUCCUCCGCGACAGAGAAGGUCUACAGGUCGGUCGUCACAGCUGGGAGGGCUCUCAGCACCACCUCCAUGCUCUCGGCAUGCCAAGCGGAGCUACAGGAGAAGAUAGCGGUCACACUGGAGCCGGGUUUAUGGGACGAGAUCUGCAUUGCCACAGACCUCAACCUGCGUCUGCUUAAAACCGCGGUCUAGGCUUCAGGAAGAGAGAUAGGGUUCAUGAUAUCCCAGGAGAGGGUGUGGUGGCUCAAUCUAUCCACAGUGUCUGCUAGUGAGAAGCUGAAGAUCCUGGAUGCUCCAGUAGACCCUAAAGGCCUUUUCGGUCCCACCGCCAAAAAGAAGCCUCCCUUCCCACCCAUGGGACUGUGAGGGAAAUGUUAUGUUUAUGUAUCAAAUCAAUGCUACUUUCUAAUUACUAAUUAGAUGGGUUCAUGCAGGUGAUUGACUGGUCGUGUAUGGAGGAAUCCUCACUAUCACUGAUCCACAACUUGGCAGUAUGCCCAGAAUAUUGAUAUGGAAACAACCGAGGUAUCUCAGUUUCAAGGUCUCAACUUGGAGAGAGAGCCUCGUGAGGUAUUGGUCAGUCACGCAUGUGAGCCACCGGUAGUGAUGAAUUAACUAUACUAAAUCAUGCAAAUAUAACUUGUCUGUGUAUAGCCGUAUAUAAGACAAAUGCUGGGACGGCUCCAGGAGAGCUCCUGAUUGACAUGUGUACUAUGGUGCAUUAAGUUUGUUGGAAUCUCUCCAGCUUGCUGAUAAUAAAGAGGGAUUCAUUUUAAGAUUGGCUUAAGGUGUCCCUGGUGUUGAAUUUCUACCGGCCGGCCCCUAACCUCACCCAGGGGGUAAGAAGGAAGAAGCGAGAAUGGCCUUCCCUCAGCGCGGUUCUAUCUCCUCCGCCAAUCCUGAGCUUGUUCCAGGGUGCAAGUUCCCAGGCACCUCAGUGUUCUUACCGGCGUACUAGGCCCAAGACAGUGGCAACAGAACACAGCCCAAAGAGAAGAGACAAUGUUCAGGUGAAUGCUCCUACAAGGCCACCCUCUUAUUUCAUAAACACUCCACAAUGUCAGUUCACAUUAAAAAUGUUUACUCUAGCGCAACCAGGCUACAGGCCAAGGACACCAUAGACAGGUUGUUUCUCAUAAAAUCAAAACAAACAGGGUGCCUCCCUAUAACGCCACCUGAGGGAGCUAUCGCUCCUUCUGUGAUGAUAGGCCACAUAAAAGCUCUCCCGGUGCGGGCCAGCCAAGUAUGUGCAGUGCGUCAUGGACUGUCGUACACCCUCCCCGCAACAGAGGGUGUUGCUGCUUCGUCUGUGGGGGGAAUUCCCAUCAGCCCUCUCUAUACUCUCUACACUCGCCAGUUUUAGCUUUAGCCAGCACCAUCUACAGAUUAGCCUUAACGUCGG
ensembl:lncRNA